AGCAAUUUUUGUACUGUGAAACUGCGAAUGGCUCAUUAAAUCAGUUAUCGUUUAUUUGAUUGUAACUUUACUACUUGGAUAACCGUGGUAAUUCUAGAGCUAAUACAUGCUGAAAAUCCCGACUUUUGAAGGGAUGUAUUUAUUAGAUAAAAAACCAAUGUCCUUUUGGACUCUUUGGUGAUUCAUGAUAACUUCGCGAAUCGCGUGGCCUUGCGCCGGCGAUGUUUCAUUCAAAUUUCUGCCCUAUCAACUUACGACGGUAGGAUAGAGGCCUACCGUGGUGUCAACGGGUAACGGGGAAUUAGGGUUCUAUUCCGGAGAGGGAGCCUGAGAAACGGCUACCACAUCCAAGGAAGGCAGCAGGCGCGCAAAUUACCCAAUCCCAACUCGGGGAGGUAGUGACAAUAAAUACUGAUGCAGGGCCUUUCUGGGUCUUGUAAUUGGAAUGAGUACAAUUUAAAUCCAUUAACGAGGAACAAUUGGAGGGCAAGUCUGGUGCCAGCAGCCGCGGUAAUUCCAGCUCCAAUAGCGUAUAUUAAAGUUGUUGCAGUUAAAAAGCUCGUAGUUGAAGCUUGGGUCUGGGCAAUCGGUCCGCCUCACCGCGUGUACUGGGAGCCUGGACCUUUCCUUCUGGCGAACCUCAUGCUCUUAAUUGGGUGUGUUGGCAAACCAGGACUUUUACUUUGAAAAAAUUAGAGUGUUCAAAGCAGGCAUUUGCUCGAAUACAUUAGCAUGGAAUAAUAGAAUAGGACGUGUUGUUUUAUUUUGUUGGUUUUUAGGACAGCCGUAAUGAUUAAUAGGGAUAGUCGGGGGCAUCCGUAUUCAAUUGUCAGAGGUGAAAUUCUUGGAUUUAUUGAAGACGAACUACUGCGAAAGCAUUUGCCAAGGAUGUUUUCAUUAAUCAGGAACGAAAGUUGAGGGAUCGAAGACGAUCAGAUACCGUCGUAGUCUCAACCAUAAACUAUGCCGACUAGGGGUCGGGCGAUGUUUUAUUAUGACUCGCUCGGAACCUUAGGAGAAAUCAAAGUCUUUGGGUUCUGGGGGAG
rnacentral:rRNA from 1 species